rnacentral:tRNA from 1 species
GGAGAUAGCUCAGUGGUAGAGUGCCUGCUUAGCACACACAAGGUCCUGGGUUCAAUCCCCAGUACCUCCA